UUGGUUGAGGAGGCGGUGACCGUGGCGGUGUAGGUGGAAGCAGCGGUGGAGGAGGAGGUAGCCAACACUGUUUUUUAUAUAUAUUUUAAUUGGGGUAGCUCCCAAAAUAUUGGGACCAAUAAAAAAAGACAACUCUGUUCCGCAGAGUAGCUGUUGACAUUAUAGUUGUGCAGGCACUUUGUUGACUCUAGAGAACCUCGGGCCAAUCGCACAUCCCUGUGACGCCGACUUUGCAUUCGGAUGUCAUCUCUAUCAACUUUUGAUGCCAGUUUCUGUGCCUACCAUGGUAGGUAAUGGGGAAUCAGGGUUCCAUUCUGUACAGGGACCCUGAGAAGCGGCUACCACAUGCAAGGAAGGCAGCAGGCGCGCAAAUAACCCACUCCCGACGCAGGAAGGUAGUGACGACAAAUAACAAUACAAGACUCUCUAGAGGCCCUGUAAUUGUAAUGAGUCCACUUGAAAUCCUUUAACUCUGAUCAAUUGGAGGGAACGUGCAGAGCCACUGACCCAUGGGUGUUGCAGCUGAAACUCCACU
rnacentral:rRNA from 1 species